AACAUAUCACGGGGGUAUUUCCUUGUCAAGUCUUUAUACCUUUCCCAUGCUUCAUACAAGGUUUCACCAUUCUAUUGCCUGAAUGUUUGAACCUCUGUUCUCAGCCU